GAAGAAAUAGGUUCCACAAAAGAAUUCUUCUAUUGAAUGUAUGCUUCUUAUUUAUGGUCUUGGAUAAAUAAAAGUUGUCAAAUAACUAGAUUUUCUUCCUUUCUCACAAAGGAAUUGUCUACUGAAGGGACAACCUUUUCAAAGUACUUUGUUAUGCAUCUGACAAGUGUAUGACUGGUGAUGGUGUACUGGAUAAUAGUGUCCUGGAGAGCCUUAACAGCUGAAAAUGUGUAUAUUAUGAGAUGAGAGCAGAACCAGGUCUGCAGUCCUGUGGAAAUUUAUGGACAUCUGAACUGCUGAAAUUUAAACAGAUUCAAAGAAAGAAGAACCUGACAGAAUCAGUGUUACAUUUCAGGAACUACCAGUCACUUGUCCAGAGGAAGAAUUAGAAUGAUAUUCAGAGUGUUUGGAAACAGAGGCAAAAGGGCAAGAGGUGUCCACAAUUACAAAAUUACAAUGUAUUUUGUAUUCUCUACGGAGAGAUCAGCAGCACCCUGGCAUAGACUGCUGUCAUCAGGAGCAUCUAGUAGGAUCAGGGAGAAUGACCUGCUGCCCCUGUAGAGGAAGAAAGGAUGGUUUCCUAACACGGAAGUCAAAGGAAACUUCACUGGUUUGUAUUCCUUACAGAUUUGUUCUGUUUGAAGAAUAAACUGGGUCUUGGAACAAAGUCCCUGAAACAGAUUCUAAAAUAGCGCUGUAUCUUUCCUGAAAUGCUGAAGUUACUCAGAAGUACGUGUAGUGUUUUAUACUAUUUAUGUUACCACUGGAAAAAAAAAUAUAAUUUCUAUCUCACGUAUAAACUUUAACCUAUUCUUUGAAAUAUGCUAGAAUGAAGAGGUCUAUUCUAAAAAAAACCCUCUUUUGAAUAUGUGCUUGUUGACCAGAGUGCCUCUAAAAUGUUACUACAAAGUCUAGGAAAGUUAUUUUUGUGAAACCCAGUCCUUUGAUAUGUUUCAGUUUUCCUUUUCUAAGCAUAUUUGAGAUUGUCAGGUAAUGUACACAAGCCUUUUGAUAAUAUUGUCUGUUAGAAUUGUGAUUCUUAGGUACAAGCAUACUCUCUCACAAUCACUUUCAGUCUGGAACUAAAAAAGUUCAAGAGUCUUUAAGGUUAUUAGUUAUUUUCAUUAUUGC
ensembl:lncRNA